GGACAGCCUGCAGUUCAAGCCCAGGAGGCAGGAGCUACUGUGGAUCUUAUUCUUGCUAUCUGCACUCUCAUCUCUUUGACUCCUCACAACCACCCUGUAAGGUGGGCACUUGGCAGAGGAGGCAAUUCAAGUUUUGGAGAAGGAGGAGCCCCACUACUUCCCUGGUCUUCUGGACAGACAACAGCAGGCAAAAGGGCUCCAUCAGUGGUUUUCAAACUGUGCUCCAAGGCACCCUGGGGCCAAGAAGAGUUUGCAACCACCCUGAAGAGAGGAUGUCCCCAAGGUCCUCCUGGGACCCCACCCACCUCCCUGCCUCCCCUUCAGUCCUGGUCCACCCCUGAAAGGCAGGAUGUGGCUGCCAAAGGUAGGUAGGGAAAAGGAAGGCGUGGGGGGCUGUGCGCAGGAAUCUACAUCCUGGGGACCCGGAGAUGGGAACUCCAGGUGCUUGGAGCCCGGCUUCCGGCUCCAUCCUAGGGAAGAAGCCUCGGCCGCCGCCUCCCGGGAUGAAACUGCCUGGCUUGCAGCCCAGAGCUCUUCCCGGACACGGUGCCGGCAUCUCAGCUUCCCUUCUGGUGGAGGAGACACUCUGGAGCCGCUUGCUCAGGGCUUGGAUUUCCAAGACUGGAUCAUCCAUGGCUGUGGCUACUGAGUCCCAGAUACCCCAAGUAUCCAGCAAGAGAGUGAAGCUGGGCCUGUGCCGAGCGCUGGGGACCCUGCCCAUUCUGUUUGCAUGAAUUUAACCCCAGCACACCCUUCUGCGGAGGAGGACUAACAGGUUGGGGGAUGUCCGUGAGCAAUAGGGAGCGGUGAGGCCUGAGGCCAAAUGGAGCACCCCUCGCCCUUCCAAAGCGGGCAGUGGCUACUUGGCUCCAGCCUGCAAUGGCCAGACUUUUGAUUUUUCAAGAGAAGCCAGAAAUCUGGGUUAUAAUUUGAAAUCUCCAGAGUUUGGAAAAGUUUUAUGAGCAAAACACAUCCACAAACGGGGCACAGCCCGCAGGCUACCCACGGGCAACAUUAUCUCCUGGAUGGGUACAACCACUGCCUUUUUUAUUUUUAUCUUUUACUUUUUUUUAUUUUUGGUAGAGACAGGGUCUUGCUGUGUCACCCAGGCUGGAGUAUGGUGGUGUGAUCAUAGCUUACUGCAGCUCCGACCCCCUGGGCUCAAGGGAUCCUCCUGCCUCAGCUUCCCGAGUAGCUGGGACUACAGGCACACAGCACCAUGGCCAGCUAAGUUUGUUUUUUUGGGUGUUGGGGGGGAUGGUCAGGGGUAGAGAUGGGGCCUCACUAUGUCUCCCAGGCUGGCUUUUUUUUUUUUUUUUUUUUUUUGAGAUGGAGUCACGUUCUGUCACCCAGGCUGAAGCACAAUGGUGUGAUCUUGGCUCACUGCCACCUCUGGGUUCAAGCGAUUCUCCUGCCUCAGCCUUCCGAGUAGCUGGGAUUACAGGCACGUGCCACCAUGCCAGCUAAUUUUUGUGUUUUUAGUAGAGACAAGGUUUUACCAUGUUGCCAAGGCUGCUCCCGAACUCCUGACCUCAGGUGAUCCUCCUGCCUCAGUCUCCUAAAGUGCUAGGAUUACAGGCGUGAGCCACUGCGCCUGGCCCCAGGCUGGUCUUGAACUCCUGCCCUCAAGCGAUCCUCGUGCAUCGACAGCUCAAAGUGCUGAAAUUACAGGCAUAGGCCACCGUGCCCAGCCACAAGCAGCAUCUUGCAGAUGAGAACACUGAGGCUCAGGGGAAGCAACACGUGCAGUCCCCGAGAGCCUCGUCAAAUAACAAUGGAACACCCACCCAUACACCGCAGCUCAAGGAAGCUGUUUCUGUGCUGAUGCCUGCCAUUCUCCAAGAAAAAACUCCGCCAUUCACAGGGUGUGUUUAAGGCAGAGAAGAGAAUACAAAUGCAUCUCCCCGCGUACCCGCCUAGGGCAUCUCUGGAAAAAUAUACUCAAAUACUCAAGAAACGGCGGGGGAACGGGGUGGGAGGAGGACUUCUCUCUCACUGCAUAUCCUUUGAGUAUUUUGAUGAUUUGGACAUGUGAACAUAUUCGCUCUUCAGCAAGUAAAUGGUUGUUUUGUUUGUUUUU